AAACUUCGUAACUUCCGAAUCUGGGAGCGGCUCCCGGAUGCCGCGGCAAGCGGGCCUCUUCGGCCCUGCGCCCCAGUGCGGAAUGCCCCCCAAACCCAAAGGCUGUGCCGCCGAGUAGGCUCCGCUACGCCUCCCCAGAAUCACGCCUGGGCACUUUCUUGGUACAGCAUUCUGCCAGCCAGUUCAGCCCCUUACUGAGCCCCUGCUGCAUACCAGGUGCCGUGCUGGAUGUUAAGAUGCACAGGUGAAUGACACAAGGUCCUUGCCCCAAAGGAGUUCCCAGCCUAGGGUAGAAACGACCUGACCACCCAGCAACAGGAUUUGGAGAGCUGGGAGUCCAGGAGGGAUCCCCCACAACAGCUCCUUCUGGGCCCCUUUCUAACACGCCAGAUUCAAAUAUUUUAACAGCUCUGCGUCAUUCACGGAAUAAAAUAUGAAUACUCUGAGUCAA